CAUUUCAUUCGCUUCAUAAUCGAACUAAAUUUACUAUAACCGAGCAUAUUUGACAUAUAUACCUAAUCAAUCUUCUCUAAAUCAAAACAAAUCGAAUCUUAGAAUAUCUUAUAAACUUGCGAAAUCCGGUGAGUAAGUUAUUUCAAUAUCUUCAAAACUUUCUCAUCAAGAUUAAUUGUAUCAACUCACGAUGAAAAAAACCCUAACAUCAUCUCAAACACUAUAUAAAUGUGUCAUUCGCACAACCAAUAAGCACCCGCUACACCACAAUUGAAAACUAUCAUAAGCAAAAAAAAACAAACCUAUUUUAACCUUAAUGGCCCCUUAUAUGCAGUAUGACUCAUGUAUGGUUUGUCAGGCAACUAACGGAAUUAUGGUAAACCGUAUGAUCAGGUUAGCGACUUACAAAAAAGGAGAGAAGAACAAAACCAUACAGCUCCAACCGUCAACACUUUUCUUCUGCAAACCAUUCAGGAAGUGAAAGAGAAAAGCUCUGAAUGACAUGAAUGGUCACCUCCUUCUGACACCAGUUUAUUCUACAAGACCACACAAAUAAAGCGACCCCUUGGUUUACAUGGUCCGAGAUGUUGUUGGCAAAAUUGUGACAAUUGGGGAGUUGGAGAAUCUUGAAGCCAACAAUAAGCCAACACCAAUAAAGAUUUUAAACUUAUAAAUGAAA